rnacentral:lncRNA from 1 species
UUUUUUUUUUUUUGGUUCUUUUUUUCGGAGCUGGGGACCGAACCCAGGGCCUUGCGCUUCCUAGGUAAGCGCUCUACCACUGAGCUAAAUCCCCAGCCCCUCAUCUCAGUAAAUCUUAAGAAAGCCACAUCCCUCUCUACAAGGAGUCGUUGGCCUAUCUGUGGGGUUCCUCUUUCCAUCCUUCAUCCAGCCCUUCGCAGGGCCCUGAAACCUACACGCACUGCCUAUUGACUGGAAACAGCCUCACUUCUGCAGGUGAAACCUCUCUGAGAUCUCUCUGGCCGGGCACUUGGUGCCCCCUCCUUGUGUCCUUUUGAUCUGUCAGAUAGGUUUCUCAGCCCUAGUUCAUAACACUCUAUCUUCUCAUUCCUUUGGUCAGGCAUAAAGUGCCAUCCUCCACUGGGCCAUUCGUUCACCACCUAUGCUAAGAGGCUUUCCAGCAGUUGUGGCCCCAAAUUCACUCUUCUAAUGAAAUCUUACAGGAAACUCCAGAAUAAAGCAGGGUUUCUGAGCCCUGGACCUGCAGCCUAGGAGAGCAUCAGAUCGAACUACUGGAAAACUCUCCUCACAGAUCGUUUCACCCUCUCCUCAGGAGAGCUCUGGCCCGAAAUACUUUCUACUCAACUUUGGCACUGUCUGUAGCACCGUAGUCUCUGUGAUGCUAGCUCCCCUAGAACCAGGAAUAGGGUUUGAGUUCUAAGCUCCAAGGGUAGGGUUUGACGUAGAAAGGCAAGAGAACUUAGUUGGGGAGCCCAGCACAGGCCAUAUAUGAUGUUAUUUCUCCACCGCUAGUGAAAUGAGCCAAUUCGAUCCAGA